AGAGUUUGAUCCUGGCUCAGAACGUACGCUGGCGGCACGCCUAACACAUGCAAGUCGAACGAAGUAGCAAUACUUAGUGGCAGACGGGUGAGUAACAUGUAGGUAUCUACCCUUUGGCCUGGAAUAACACGAGGAAACUUGUGCUAAUACCGGAUAAGUCUUUACGGAGAAAGCUUUAUGCACCAUUGGAUGAGCCUGCACUUGAUUAGUUUGUUGGUGGGGUAAUGGCCUACCAAGACUGUGAUCAAUAGCUGAUUUGAGAGGAUGAUCAGCCACAUUGGGACUGAGACACGGCCCAAACUCCUACGGGAGGCAGCAGUGGGGAAUCUUGCACAAUGGAGGAAACUCUGAUGCAGCGAUGCCGCGUGAGUGAAGAAGGCCUUUGGGUUGUAAAGCUCUUUCGUCGGGGAAGAAAAUGACUGUACCCGAAUAAGAAGGUCCGGCUAACUUCGUGCCAGCAGCCGCGGUAAUACGAAGGGACCUAGCGUAGUUCGGAAUUACUGGGCUUAAAGAGUUCGUAGGUGGUUGAAAAAGUUAGUGGUGAAAUCCCAGAGCUUAACUCUGGAACUGCCAUUAAAACUUUUCAGCUAGAGUAUGAUAGAGGAAAGCAGAAU
rnacentral:rRNA from 1 species